UAGCAUUAGAGAGACACCACCUCUCAUAGA
rnacentral:piRNA from 1 species